GAUAAACGCUGGCGGCGUGCAUAACACAUGCAAGUCGAACGAAGUGGCGAACGGGUGAGUAACACGUGAGUAACCUGCCUUACACAAGGGGAUAGCCUUUGGAAACGAAGAAUAAUACCCUAUAGUGUAAGAUGGACUUGUGUCUGAUUAGCUAGUUGGUGGGAUAACAGCGCAACAAGGCGACGAUCAGUAGCCGGGUUGAGAGGGCGUACGGCAACAUUGGGACUGAGACACGGCCCAAAAUCUACGGGAGGCAGCAGUGGGGAAAUUUGCCCAAUGGGGGAAACCCUGAUGCAGCGACGCCGCGUGGGGGAGAAGGCUUUCGGGUUGUAAAACUCUUCGCUAUCGAACACUAUAGGGUGGGUUGAGGGUAGGUGGAGAAGAAGCGCCGGCUAACUACGUGCCAGCAGCCGCGGUAAUAC
rnacentral:rRNA from 1 species